UAGGGAAUCUUCCGCAAUGGGCGAAAGCUUGACGGAGCAACGCCGCGUGAGUGAUGAAGGUCUUCGGAUCGUAAAACUCUGUUAUUAGGGAAGAACAAAUGUGUAAGUAACUAUGCACGUCUUGACGGUACCUAAUCAGAAAGCCACGGCUAACUACGUGCCAGCAGCCGCGGUAAUACGUAGGUGGCAAGCGUUAUCCGGAAUUAUUGGGCGUAAAGCGCGCGUAGGCGGUUUGUUAAGUCUGAUGUGAAAGCCCACGGCUCAACCGUGGAGGGUCAUUGGAAACUGGAGAACUUGAGUGCAGAAGAGGAAAGUUGAAUUCCAUGUGUAGCGGUGAAAUGCGCAGAGAUAUGGAGGAACACCAGUGGCGAAGGCGACUUUCUGGUCUGUAACUGACGCUGAUGUGCGAAAGCGGGGGGAUCAAACAGG
rnacentral:rRNA from 1 species